CAACCCCCCUCUUCAAACCCUAGAGACCGCCGCCCCAAAAUUCUUAGCCGCCGGUGGUGGCGCCGGCCACCAAACUUAACCAAAAAUGCACCAUGGACUCUCCUCACUACCCUCACCUCGAAUCCCCGGUCACUUUCCCUCGAAUCAUCACCAAAGCCCUCGAAUCUUAAAUCAAAAUUUUCGGCCAAGUCCCAAGUUUGCCCAAAUGCUCCCAAUUUGAUACCAGAUAAUCCAUUAACCUCUCUCAUCUCGAGUCUAGGGUUGUUUUACUUCGAAUCUCAACAAGCCGCCUCCAAUUCCACAUCUAGGGUUCAUGCAUUUUUUAGACUGUUUGGUUGAUUUGCCGAGACAAGUUAACUCAUGUUAAUGUUAUGAGUUUAUCCCCCCUAUGAGAUGAACCUGUAACAUUAACUCGAAGUUAAUUUCGAAGAUUUCGUUAGAAGAUUGGAUUAGCAGUAAGUUUUCUAUAUCUUUGUCUUUUAGUUUCGGUUUUAGUUAAUUUAGUUUGUCCAUUCGAUUAAGCAUAGCUGUAGUUUUACAGUCGAGUUUUAGCGUCAAAUCUUCUUCUUUGAGUUGUUAUAUGUGUUUAGGUUUAAUUGUUUAAGUGCUAAUUAGUCUUAGUAUUAAUUAAUUUUAAUUAAUAAUUACUUUGUUUAGCCUUUGUUAGUAUUAGUUAGUUCUUUGUUAUAUAGGUGAAUUGGAUAUAGCUGAAUGUUAGUUUAACUUGGGUUGGAAUUAUAACUGGGGUAAGGUUUUGGUUUCAGUUAGGCUAGGCUGUAAUUUUAGGUUGUUGGAAGGGCAAUUUAGGCAUGAAAAAUGGCAGCAUCUUUAGAAAUAGUAAUUGCAAAACAUUAAUAACGGUAGUAUAGGUAUUUUGUGGGUAGAAGAGCAUCCUAGGGCCUUCUAGAAUAGGGUACAAGUAUAGAUUUCAGCAAGUUAGAUGUAUUUACUUGUUGAGCAAGUUAAAAAUGAAGGGACCAAGCUAUAAGUAAGCAAGGACUGAAAGUGCAAACUGAAAAUAUGAGGGUUGCCCUCAUUUUGCCUAUAAAAGCAUUGAAUAGUGCCUUAACAAGGUCUGGAACUUUGAGCCAAAAAAACCUGCAUUGAGUUUUUUUUUCUGCCCUUUCAUUUUUCAAAUUCAGAAUUAGCUUUUGAAUUAAUAAAAAAACCCAAAAAAUAGUUGAAAUCUCCAGAAAAACUAAAAAUAUGAAGGAGUUACUAUUUCAUUGAAGUCUUCAAUUAAUUGCUGAAGUUUAGCUUUCAAAGUUUGCCUCAUAGCUCGAGUUCUGGGUCUGCUGAAGUAUUUUGGAAGUAUUUCGAGUUUAUUUGGUGCAUUUUUAUCGAUUUGUGGUGUUUUGCUUGGGUGUGAUUGGUUUUCAAAUACUCUUCCUAGUUUGAGCUGAAAUCUGGUUUAUUGACUGCUGCUCGUGCGUGCUUCUGCUAAACUGAUUUUGCUCCUUCUUAAUUUCCUUAUCCAGGUACAUGUUUGUAUUUCUGCUGUAAACUCGAGCUCAGCUCAUGGAACAAAUGUUCAUUUUGAUGGUUCAGUUGGAAAUUUUGAAUUGAAUUGAAGUAUAGUGAUAUGCACAUCUGAUAACUAGUCUUGUAAUUGAACUUGAACUGUUUGAUCGAAUGUUUGAGUGUUUGUGGUUGUGGGUUAAUCGAGAAUAUUCAUAAGUUGAAAUCUGAAAGUCGUAUGGUUUGGAAAUUGUGGGAAAUGGUCAGUUUAAAUAUUGUGCAAUAUUUGAUUAGUAUGGCUUGAAGCAGUUAGUUCAAUGGUUUUUUUGUUUAAUUGGAUUGUUGAAAUAAUUUGGAAGUUCACAUGAAUUGGUGGUUGUCAGUAAUAUUAUGAACUGAAAAUAUCAUGUUAGAAGGAAAAUGACUUUGAGGUGAUUUUCAAUUCACGAACUGUAGAAUGUUAGUAAUUGAUCCUGUUAGUAUGAUAUUGUUAGUAAAUUGGCGUUAAAUUAAUUCAAGAAGACAAAAGCCUAGUUACAUUGAGUUAUUUCAUUUAAACCAGUAGUUCAUGAUAAGUGAGUAGUUUAAUAAAUUGAUUUGAGAAUUUUAGAGUUCAUAGUUGCUAGUCAAAUGUGAAUGCUUUGCCGAUUAUGAGGAAUCGUGGAUGCUGUGCAAUUAUGGCACUUGGAAUGGUGAUUGUCCUCAUAGGGGUUCAAACCCUUUAUGAGGCUUCAUAGCCACUUAAGCAAUCGUUUAUUCUUAUUGGCCCAAUGACUCUUGGGUUGUGACGAAGCCCAUAAGGUAGAUUCACCAUCGUUUUAUUGUUCUCUUCAUUUAUUUCAACGAGUUAAUUUCUCAAUUAAGUAGGUUUUUAAAGACGCAUAUUAAGUAGAAAUCAGUAGAUUCAACAUCCCAUUGCUGGGAUUCGAUCCUUGGUCCAUUAGGACGAUUGUCAAGUGGGCCUCACGUGAGAGGCCCAUUUUCUGAAGCUAAAAUACGGCCAGGGAUGAGGGAAAUCAACUUGGGUCACCGCCCAGAUAUAGCUCAAUUACGUGAGCCCACAGGGAUUUGAUCCCUCAAGCCCUCUAAUCACUUCUGCCCUUGUCAAUUGGGCUCCCUGGCCUAGACAUUUGGGCCCAGCUCAGUUUCCCUUAAGUGAUUUAAUUGGUGUUUGGAAUUCGAUUUGAGUUAGGUAGCGGGUCCAAGCUCCAACAUUAAUCAUUUAGGAUUUUCUUUCCUUUUGAGACAAAAAACAAAAAUAGAGAAUUUAGUCGCUUUUAGGUUUACCUUCUAAAAUAAAAUGAGAUGAGCCUCGCUCAAUAAAAUGCAAAAUUGUGGGGCCCUCAAUAAAGGUUUUAAAAUAUUUAGUAAAUUGGAAGGGUCGUUUAGCGAAUUUCAUGACCCACUCAAAAUAUUACAACGCUUUAGACUCAGUUAAGCGCAACUUUAAUAAAUUACAUCCUAAAUAUGGGCGGGAAUUUUAUGCGGCCCAAAUCCAAAUCCUAAAAUGUUGAAUAGAAUGUGUCUAGGGUUGCGGGUUCAUUUCAUGCGGCACAAUCCGAAAACACACUUUAAACGACAUUCAUUUUCUCAAAAUAAAUAUACAUUAAAUAAAAAAGCGGUUAAACAUAAAAUUGGUGGAUAGGCUUUUCAUGUUUAAAAAAAAAAUAGAUUUUAGCCAUUCAUGGCAAUUUAAGCGACCGUGCUAGAACCACGGGAUCCGAAGGUUCCUAAUACCUUCCCUUAUUCAAAAUUUCUGGCUCGCAGACUCCAAUCGGAAGUCGAAAUUUUUCUCGGUUCGGAAUUCAAGAAAAAACGGUGAGUUGGGACACCAAAAAACUAGCCUUAUCCCAAGUGGCAACACUGAAUAAAUAAUUUCGAUCCGAAUAAUGUCACUUUAAAUGAAAAAACUCCCUUAUACGUUAUCCUUCGGGUAGGUGUGUAAAAAGGAGGUGUGACAGCUCUGGCGACUCUGCUGGGGAUGAGAACCCAGAACAUUUUGGUUUAGGGUUCAGAAUUCGAGCUUGGAAUAAUUGUUGUGUUGGGCUUAUCUAAUUUUGUAAAAUGAUAUGUGCCUAAUGUGCUAAUUGACUGCUUCUACCUCUUUGAUAUUAUGUGAACUGUAUAUAAACUGUGUCGAAUCUCGUCUUCUCUCUGAGUCUUCUAAAUCAUGAAGAAGGGUGUACUUCAUACGACUUCUUUUCUGUAUAUUGUCCAAUUCUCGAAUUAGAACGAGGUUUGGAUAAGUUGCAAAGCCGGCGAAGCUUCUGUAUUCCCAGAUUGCUUCCUCCCCCUUGGCUCGAGCUGUCCGCUCGGUUAAGCUAGGUCUAGAACAAACACCCAGGUUCUGAACCUAGAAUAACUCAACUUCAUGCCGGAUCCAUAGUAGGAAGGCUUAUCUGCAUCAUGUACAUUUGACUUAGGGGACUCAACACAGGGGUUGGGUCCGUCUAGGGCUAACAACCUGAAAUAAAAAAGACCAUCUUGACACAUUAGGAACGCUUAUCUGCAUCAUGCGCAUUCUGACUUAGGGGACUCAACACAUGGGUUGGGUCCGUCUAGGAUUAGCAACCUAAAAUGAAAAGACCAUCCUGAUGCAUCCUACUUAUUUUUCAGUGUAUUUGUUUGUUUCAGCCUGCACGUUGACCAGCUUUUUGAUUCUCGGGAAUGUUAGAAAAAUAAGAAAAAGUGAAAAAUAGCAAGUCGGAGAGUUACUUGAUUAGUCUACAAAACCCAAUGCCCAAGUGCUGUCAGAACUCUGCCGAAAUUUUGAAAAAUUGGAAGAAAGGAAAAAUGUUUUUUUAAUUUGUUUACCAAAAAGUCAAAAAAUGGUUUGAAAAAAGAUUUUUUGUCUAAAAAUUAGUUAGCUUACUUGACCGAACUACGCCGGUUUGAUUCUCACAGGGUGUGGGAUACGUAGGCAACCCUCAUCGGGUCCAACUUUCCCUUUUGAUAAAUAGCCAAAAAUGCCAAAUUUUUUAACUUUUUGUCAUAAAUAAGUCGGGUGAUACCGUUUGUGCAAAAAUAGCCGAAUGUUCUAAAUCGGAACGUCGGAAGGCUAACCUUGUAAAAAUAGCCACCUUUGGGUUUCAUUUUGAUUUUUGACCCUUACAGCUUUAAUUUAUCGUCCUCGAGGCGUUGAAAGGCCAUGUUGGCAAUAUCGGGUCACUUAUUUUGAAAAGAAAAAAGAGUUGAAAAUAAGUCAAGUAAGGCCGUUUUGUCAUACAUAGCCGAAUGUACCCGAAAGGGACGCUGGAAGGCUGAAUUUGUAUAAACAGCCGUUUUUGGUCAAUUGUGAUUUUUGAUUGGUUGACUACACAUCCUUAAAUCUUCGUUUCCAAAGUGCUGAAAGGCUGUGUUUGAAAACCAGGUCUUUCAUUUUCAAAUUUGAAAACACGCAGAACAAAAUAUAGAUAGUUUUUUUUAGUCGAAUAAAAGUUUUUCUUUUGCUUAAUCUCCCUAAUAAAUGUGCAGGAUGAGCAUAAAUCAAAUUGAACCUUUCUCAGUCUUUAGCGAGGUUCCUCUACAGCUCCACAUGUGGUGGAAUGAUUUGGGAGAUGGUAGUAAAAAGACAGUGGAAAUAGUUUUGGGAGGUCUCGUCAGUCUGUUAGAUAUCAAGUCAAGGGCUGAUGUCAUCGAAGUUUUAAUACCGUUCUGGGAUCCAACCUGUAAUGUAUUCCGCUUUACAGACUUUGGGAUUACACCUAUACUAGACGAGGUUGCGGGUUAUGCAUGUUUGGAUGGAAAAUUGAGGGGAAAAUAUCUUCUUUCACCUAGACCGGUUUCUCCACAUGGGUUUUUGAAUUUGCAACACAUUAAUCGGAAUGUGAAAGAUGACGAUUUGUUGAAAGGUUAUUGUGCUCUUCAAUUUUUAUAUCAAUAGUAUGGUGUUUUUAGAUUUUCUAAACAUUAGUCGAAAGGUGAAAAAUGAUGAUUUGUCGAAAGGCUAUUGUGCUCUUCAAUUCUUAUAUCAACGAUAUGGUACUCCUCGGGGUUUUGAAGAACCAAACCUUGGACUAACUCAUGCUCGCGACAGAAACAAGUGGGAGGCAAGACGUACUUUGGCAUUCCUGAUGACAUUCCUGGGAAUCAUGGUUUGUCCAUGCAAAGAUAAGAAAAUAGAGAUAGGCCUUGUAGGGAUGGCCGAAAUUGUAAUCAAAAAGCCUAACAGUAUUGUGGUCCCUUUGGUGUUAUCUGAAAUCUACCGAGCCUUAACUGUUUGUCGGGAGGUAGGCGAUUUCUUCCAGGGUUGCAAUCUAUUACUCCACCUAUGGAUGCAGGAACAUCUCUGUCAUCGGCUAGGAUACAUGAAUCAUGGGUUGACUUGAAAAAUCUACAUCAGUGGUUUUGAAAAGCGGGUGAUGGGGGUUGUAUUCCCUGAAGGUGUCGAAGCAUCGUUUGCACGAUUGAGGUCAUUGACAGCCAAUCAAGUUGAAUGGGCAUUUGGAUGGUUGCUGGAUACCGAGGCAAUACACAUGGCAGCCGAAGAAUGUCAUAUUCCUUUGAUGGGAGUUCACAGUAACCAGCCCUAUGCUCCUCAUCGAGUAUUGCGCCAAUUAGGAAGGUUUCAGGUAAUUCCCAACAGAGCAAGGUGAAAAGAAUAGACUGACUCGAGAAAAUGAGAUGCUCAAGGCUCAAAUACAGCAAAUGAGGGUAUCUGCCAAUAAUCAACAAAGGAGUAGGUCAGAUGAGAGACUCAUAAAUGGUUUGAAAAAUGAGAUCAAUGAGUGUUGGAAAGAUCUGAGAACAUCAUGGCAGAGCUCAAGGCACAAUGGAAUAAAAGAUCAGAAGAGCGACAUCAAUACCUCUAGCAACUGAAUAGAGACUACGAGAAAAUUGUGUCCAAUCUGCAGAGAGAAGUGGUUGCCCUUGAAGAUAAAGUGGAAAAACAGGCUAGAAGCUUUGAAAUGGAGAGCGGACAGUGUUAUGAUUUGCUGGACCAAAUGGAAUUAGAAGUACAGCAAUUGCAAGUUCAGCACUUCCAAGACUCUCAGGCAUUGAAAACAUGCAGUAACCAGAUAAAACGUUUGCUCACAGAGAAAAAGAAAACAGGGAAUAGAAUUGUAGCCAUUGCCCAUGCUAGGGUUGUACAAAGGAAACCGACAAACCGCACCAACCCGAUAAUCCGAGUCAAACCAUGAAAAAGAAACCCGAUUAUGGUUUGGUUUGACUUGAUUUGGUGUUGAAAAAAAACCCGACCAUAAUUGGUUUGGUUUUGUCCUAACUAAAGAAAGUCAAACCGAAACCAAACCAACCCGACAUUAAAUAUAUAGAAAUUUUAGAUAUAUUUAAUAUAUGAAUAUACGUAUUGUAGUGUAAUUUAUAAAUAUUUCUUAAAAAAUUUCUUAAUUUUAUCUUUUAAGAUAUUAUUUCAAGGUUAGACUUAGAACUUUUGAAUUCUCCAAUAAGUUCUAUAGCCAUUAAUAUUAGUAAAUUACAUAAUGCUAACAAUCAAUAUAAAUGCUAACAAAAGACAUUCAAUUCAAUAUUACGAGCGGGAAUGUAUUGAAUGUCUAUUUUUUUGUUAUACAAUAAUUUAGAUAAAAAAUGCAUAACCUAUUUUUAUUUUGCUUUAGUGUUUAGUCAUGUAAUUAAUACUCUCUUAUUAGUCUAUUUAUUUUAGCAUGACUUAGUGCUUUUUGAUUAUGUUUAUUUUUAUUAUGUCUUUUUAGUUUGCAAUAUUUAUAUUACAUAAUUUUAUUGUCUUUAUUGUUGAAUAUUUAAGGAUAAUGUCAUGACACAUCUCAUAUUUUGUAUUAUUUUCCUGAAAAAUAAUUUAUAUAGUUUUAUCUUACUAUGAUUAAAGAAAUAUUUUGAGCAUACGUUAUAUGUGUUGUUCUACGAAGAGUUUACCAGAAAAUAAAUUCAAAAAAACCUGAAUAACCCGAAAAUCCGAGAAAAACCGACAUUGAAAACCCCGAGUUUUAUUGGUUUGGUUUAGUCUUUAUAUUUAAUAACCCGACACAAUUGGUUUGAUUUGGUAAUUAUAUAAUCCGAACCAACCCGGCCUAUGUACACUCCUAGCCCACGCUAUUCUCAGGAGGUGCAGGGCAUGCGAGGACAUGACCACUACCACUUUCUUCGUAGCUGUAAUGAUCUAUGUCAAGAGGACUAUGAACGAAUUGGAAGACCUUGAGCAUGAUUUAGAACCUAAGACCGCGGCAGGGCCGAAUGACGCCCCGCAUGCACCUAGAUUUGAAGCAUUAGACUAUGCAUAGCUAGCGUCUGUAUUUUCCUAUUUUUGAGUCUGUUUGCCCGUCGUUUUUCAUGUCAAAGUAAGUCUAUAGUUUUGGAAUUUAUAGUUGGUCUUUGUUUGCGUCUGUUAUUUCCUUUUUGCAAAAAAUGCUUAGUUUGUAAUAGUUUAUGUUAUUAAUAAAAAUUUGAAAAUUCCCAAAAAAUGGUUUUUUGUUCUUAUAUUACGUUUGGUCUGAUUCGUGCGAAGUCACGAUAUGUAGGGAAUCUCUAUAGGAUUCAACCAUAACAAAGAAAAGGAGGAAAAAUGAAAAGAGAAAGAAAAUAGAUGGUAGAAAAACAAAGAAAAGAAAAAUAAGAGAAAAGAAAAAGGAAAACAGAAAAAGAGAGGAAAACAGAAGAAAAAUGAAUGAAUGAGAAAACAAAAGAGUGAAGCAAGAAGGGAAAUAGAAAGGUCGGGAUGAUGCAUGCAGCCAUUGAUGUGUGAUUACCUGUCUAUUUUUUCACAAAACUAACCGUUUGAUACUUCCACUUCAAGAGUUCAGGUUUAUAAGAAACAUGUGGUUGGUUUGUGGUAAACUGGCUUCACAUCAUUACUUCACCAGAUCUAAAGGUAGCACAGAGAUGUCGUCAGAAAUGACUCUACCAAUAAUCCAUAUUCCAGAUGACAGCCCGCACUCGGGUGUCCCAGCCUCAGAAUCUUCUGCAGCUGAAGAAAACAGAAUUUUGCGUCUUAGAAUGAUGGAGUUGUGGGAGGCAUGGACAAACGGGAAGGAACCCCGAAGGCCAUCCCUGGAUUCCCCGAGUUGUUCCCAAGGCCGGCUGGUGCUUCCAGUAUUCCAAUCAGUCACCCAAACAUCCCGUUGGGUCAACACACUAUAUCUGCUCACUAUGUAGGAGGCACAUCUUAUGUUCGCCCACAUGCAUUCAUACCCGGAACCACUCCGAAUAUCUUCACCGCUCCAGCAUCUACUGCUACAACACAGCUGGCAGUUCCAAGGCUCGUGUUUGACCCAUCAGCCUUCACUUACCCCGCUCCCACUGAUCAUCCAGAAUUGCCACAAUACCCUACAUAUACCUACCCUCAUCCAUCACCCUAUGAACUCACACUGAGACAAGACAAAACUCCUAAAGUCUCGAAAGAAGAUGAGAUGGAUAGGAUAAUGAGAAGCCUCGAACAGAGCCUAAAGAACAUGCAAGGCCUGAGCGGGGAAAAGAGUGUCGCCUACUCGGAUCUGUGUAUGUUACCACAUGUACACUUGCCGCCAGGGAUCAAAACACCAAUAUUCGAGAAGUAUGACGGGCACGGCGACCCCAUUUCUCAUUUGAAGAAAUACAGCAAUCAGUUACGGGGGGCCAGCGGAAAAGAGGUUUUAUUGAUGACAUAUUUUGGAGAAAGCUUUAUCGGCAUUGCCUCAGAGUGGUACAUGGAUCAAGACAUCUCACGCCGGCAUAUCUGGGAUGAUCUUGCCCGGGACUUUAUUCAGCAGUUUCAAUACAACAUAGAUAUUACACCAGAUAGGAACUCUCUGUCAAACCUAAAAAAGAAAUCUUCAGAGAAUUUAAGAGAAUAUGCAAUCAAGUGGCGUGAAAAAGCCUCAAGAGUGAAAUCUCCAAUGGACGAGGUAGAGAUGGUCACUAUUUUCCUGCAAGCCCAAGAGCCCGAUUACUUCCAGAAUAUGAUGUCAGCUAUGGGAAAGCCUUUUUCAGAAGCAAUAAAGAUCAGGGAAAUGGUAGAAAAUGGUCGGAAACGGGUAGAAUUGAGCCAGGAAGCCAUAACAGCAACCUCCCAAGCCAUCCAAGGCGGGUCUGGAGGAAUGGCUAAAGGCAAAAAGAAAGAAGAAACAGUUAUGGCAAUGUCUGGAGGCAAAAGGUACAGAGCUCCUAGGCCGGUAUUCUCGGAACCUUCAACAUUACUACCCACACAAUGAUAUGGCUUACCCUCCUCCGCCUCCAUUAUAUGCGGUCAUGAAUGCUCGCCUUUUGGCCGACCGCAACCACCAACCAACCGAAACCCACCUCCAUUCCAGAGAAACCAAUUUCCUUGCCAACAUUAAUAUAAUCCCCGACCUCCACAAAAUAAUUUUCGUUUGGAGGCAGAAGUUACAGAGCUCCAAGACCAGUAUUCUAGGAAAGGACUCCUCAACAUUACUACCCGCACAAUGAUAUGGCUUAUCCUCCUUCACCUCCACCCUAUGCGUCAUUAAUGCUGAUCCUUUCGGCCGACCGCAACCACCAGCCAACCGAAACCCACCUCCAUUCUAGAGAAACCAACCUCCAUACCAAAAUCAAUAUAAUCCCCGACCUCCACAAAAUAAUUUUCCUCCUCGUGAGCCACCCAGGAGACAAACCUUCACACCCAUUGGUGAACCCUAGUCUGAUUUAUUCUCAAAGCUCGUCCAAAUGGGUUUCUUACAGCCAGUCCCUCAAACAAGGCAAAAUCAAACAUCGUCUGGUUUAUAGAGCCGAUGUAAGGUGUGCUUACCACGGGAAUAGAAGGACAUGAUACCAAUGAUUGUUGUACUUUGAAAAGAGCGGUAGAGAAUCUGAUAGAAUAGGGGAAGAUAGUUCUAAAGGAUGAAGAGGUUCCAAACGUGACUAACAACCCUUUGCCCACUCACAAUAAUGAGUCGGUAAUUGGGAUGAUCUGUGAGGACAAAGAAUUCGAUCCUGCUUUGAAAGCCAUAAUCGCCAUAGUUGACGCAGAAAUAAAGCCUAAAGCAACCCCGAAGCAAGAGAAGGGGGAGAAGAAGAAUAAAACUAUCAAGGCUAAUCUUGAAAAGAAGUUUGAAACGAAGUAUGAGACGAUAGUGCCUCCGAAAAAUGGAGUUCUUUAUGUCCCACGAGGUGCUCAGAAAAGCCAUUAGUCAUAAGUAAGCCAAGGGAGUUUGAAAUGAAAAAUGGAAUGCCGAUGUAUGGGCCCAAAUGAGCCUAUGUGGUCCACUGGAAUGAAGAUGAUGAGGCCUUCACGACCGAAGAAAUCGAAGAUAUAUGUGGAGCUAUGAGGCAAAUGCUUUAUGAAACCAACAUGUUUCAACUAGGGGAAGGUACUAGCACCGUUGAGGUGCUUUACAUGGGACCAUAUGCUAAACUCCAAAAUUGGAAGGCUACGCCAUUCUCGAUCAGGCUGGAGUACAGGUAGAUUUGCCAUGCCACUUUCUCUGCAUCACGAGUUAUCCCAGGGUGUAACUAGGAUGUUUGUUCUUUAAAUUUCCUGUCUUUAAAUUCCUGAAUGUAAACCCUGUCAUCUUCCAAAUUCCAAGAAAUGAAGCAAUAUUUUAUCAUUUACUCUCUUUAUUCUUUAUGAUUUUUGCUAUUUUUCUCUUCCAUUUCUUCUUUUGAGUUAUAAUAAUGCGGCUUUUAAUAACAUGACAUGCUUGCGGACUUCACGCCCAGAUCUAAACACGCUGUCUAAUUAUGAAAUAAUGAACCAAGAACCGGAAUAUGAUGAAGAAGAGGAUUUUAGUGAAAUAAAUUGAGAACUGGAAUAAUUUGAGAAUAAACCUAAGCCGAACUUGACUGAUACAGAACCGGUUAAUUUGGGAACCUAUGAAGAAAUUCGGGAAACAAAAAUAAGCAUUCACUCUGAUGAGAAAAUGCGAGGUGCAUAAUUCAACUUCUGUUUGAGAUUAAAGAUGUGUUUACUUGGUCGUUCGAUGAUAUGCCAGGUUUAAAUAUUGAUCUAGUGGUGCAUAAAUUGCUAAUUCACCCUGAUUUUCCUUCGGUUCAGCAGAAACAAAAAAAGUUUAGACUAAUAUCAGUGAUAAGAUCAAAGAAGAGAUCACAAAACAGUUGAAAGCAGGGGUAAUCCGGGUGGUUCGGUAUACUACGUGGUUGGCAAAUGUAGUUCCCGUGCAAAAGAAAGAUGGGAAAACCUGGGUAUGUGUGGAUUAUCGAGAUUUGAACAAGGCAAACCCCUAAGACAAUUUCCCUCUGUCUAACAUCUAUAUCCUUGUAGAUAAUUUCGUCAAACAUGAGAUACAGUCAUUCGUGGAUUGGUAUGCAAGAUACCACCAGGUGUUGAUGAUUGAAGAGGAUGCCGAGAAUAUAGCUCUCACUACACCCUGGGGACCUACUGUUACCGAGUUAUACCAUUUGGUUUGAACAAUGCCGGAGAAACAUAUAUAAGAGCCAUGACUGCUAUUUUUCAUGAUAUGAUGCAUCAGGAGAUAGAGGUGUAUGUGGAUGACGUGAUUAUCAAGUCUAGAACCCAGGAUGAUCAUGAUCGAGACUUGAGGAAAUUUUUCAAGAGACUGCGCAAAUAUGAUUUGAAGAUGAAUCUGAAUAAGUGUGCUUUUGGGGUCCCAUCAGGUAAACUCAUGGGCUUCAUUAUCUAUAGCAGAGGUAUCAAGUUAGAUCCGACAGAGAUAAAGGCUAUCCGAGAUCUGCCUCCUCUGAAAACUAAGAAAGACGUGAUGAGUUUAUUGAGCAGGUUAAAUUAUAUCAGGUUAUUCAUUACUCAAGUGACUGCCGCAUGUGAGCCCAUAUUCAAGCUAUUGAGAAUAGACGCAACAAUCAAAUGGACGUCUCAAUGUCAAGAGGCUUUCAACAAAAUCAAGGAAUAUCUGUCGAACCCUUCAAUUUUGGUCCCACCAGAUUUUGGGCGACCUCUCCCCUUGUAUCUAACAGUGUUGGAGAAUUCUUUUGGUUGUGCCCUCGGGCAGCAUGAUAUAACCGGCAAGAAAGAGCAUGCGAUUUACUAUCUGAGAAAGAAGUUCACUAGCUAUGAGGCCAAAUAUACUUUGUUGGAGAGAACGUGUUGUGCCUUGACGUAGGUUGCUCAAAAGUUGAGACAUUAUCUUCAAACUCAUACUACUUAACUCAUAACCAGGUUGGAUCCUUUGAAGUACAUAUUCCAGAAACUAAUGUCAAUUGGAAGACUAGCAAAAUGGCAAAUCUUGCUCACUGAAUUUGACAUAGUUUACGUUACUAGCACGGCAGUGAAAGCCAAGUAGAUGGAAAAUCAUUUGGCUGAAAACCUAGUUGACGAGGAAUACCAACCAUUGAGCACAUAGUUUCCAGAUGAAGAGGUAAACAUAAUAGAAGUAAUCCCUGAGGACACUCAUGCUUGGAAAAUUUUCUUCGAUGGGGCAGUGAACGCCAAAGGUGUAGGGAGUGGGGCAAUCUUGAUCUCACCUACUGGUCAGCAUUAUCCGGCUACAGCUAGGCUCUGUUUCUUCUGCACGAACAAUACUAUUGAAUACGAAGCCUGCAUCAUUGUCACACCUCCUUUUUGCGCGCCUACCCCGAGGGAUAAGAUGCACAAGGGAGUUUUUUUCAAUUUAAGUGACAAUAUUCGAAAUGGGAUUAUUUAUUUAUUUCAGAGUCGCAACUUGGGAUAGAUUAGGAUUUCAGUAUCCCAAGUCACCGGUUUAUCUUGAAUCCCAAAUCGAGGAAAAUAUUCGACUUUCCAAGUGAAGUCUGCGAACCAAAAAUUCUAAGUAAGGAAUUCUGUUGACCCGAGGGAAGGUGUUAGGCAGCCCCGCAUCCCGUGGUUCUAACACGGUCGCUUAAACUGUUGUAAUGGCUAAAUAUAUAAUUUUAAUACAUGUUAUAACUUAUGUGCUUUUAUUAACUUUAAAUCGCUUUUAUUAUUAUUUUUAAUGGAAUUGCAACUUCGUAAAAAUGCGUCUCAAACCACGCCGCAAUCAAUGCACCCGUGGUUGUUGACACAUUUCAACUCAGUUGAGAUUUGGAUUUGGGUCACAUAAAUGUGCACCCGAGUUUAGGAAUGUAAUUUUAUUAAAAUCGCGCCUAAAGAGACUAUCGUGUUAUUAAUUUGGGGAAGGCCGUGGAUAUUCGCUAAACGGCUCAUCCGAAGUCUAAUUAAUUAUUAACCAUUUAUUGAGGGCCCCGCAGCUUGUGUGUUUUAUUUAGCGAAGCUCAUCUCAUAUUUUAAAAGGACAAUCCUAAAGUGAUUACAUUUUUUCUAUUAAGUUCGUCUCUAAAAUAAAAGAGAAAAGAUCCUAAUUAAUUACAUGCUCACGAGUUAUUAUAGUCGGGUUUGGAAUGCAAUUGGUUAAAUCAGAAUAUGUACGUACAACAUGGGCAGUCCGUUUGCCAACGUGGGCCCAGGUCCAAAGAAUGUAGUGUUAAACUGGACCUGGGCCAUCUUAUUCAAAUAUUGGGCCUAGUUAAUUUAUUCUACACAGGUUCACAGUUUUGCAAAGCUGAAAUGUAAAAAUGAUGAUAUUUAAUUAACAAAUUGUUGCAAGUUUAAGAGAGGAAGUCUGUUAAAUGAGGUAACUUAGAUUACCUAGUAAUUAAAACAACCUAAGGCCUUAUACAUAUUUGCAGCAUGCUUAUAAAGAAUAAACUGAAAUGCUAGAAUGUCACUACUACAUCACGGGUUCUUUAAACUAGCAUAUGAGAGAAAGAAUUCAUCAUCUAAAUUGUUACAGACUUAACUCAGUUAGACACAAUAAUCACUUUACAUGUUUCCGAUGCAGACUGCUAUCAUAUACAACUUAAUAUACAAAACUACAACUAAACAAAUUCGAAACUUUAAAACUUCAUUUCAUUUAUGCAUUAAGUUUCAGCUACAAGUGUAUCAGUAUAGCAAUGUGUACAUGGUAUUUGGAAAACAAAUAAGAGAGGAAGAUCAGUGGUGAAUCAAGCAGUAGCACAGCAACAGCAGCAACAAAUCGAAACCCAAUUUUAAACCAAAGUAACACUCAACCAAUAACCCAGAAUUAGUUUGCAAGCCAACAACGACACAAGCACCCCAAAACAGAUACCACUGAACGCGGAUAAACUCAAGACAGAAUACAAUGUGUACCUGGUAUCUGGAAAGCAAAUAAGAGAGGAAGAUCAGUAGUGAAUCAAGCAGUGACACGGCAACAGAUUCAGUAAAAAUAGUAGCACAACCAGUGAAACAAAACAGGAGAUAACCCAGUAAUGGAGUUGAAACCAAGCAGAAAAACAAAGCAGAAUCGAAUAACAACCUCAGAGAUUUUCAAAUAGAAAACCAACAGAAAGAUCCAAAGAACACUAACACAGUUGAAAAACCAAUUGAAAAACUCAGCUACCAAUUGGAUGCCAAUAGCACCAGAAUACCCUCAAAAUCAAAGAUGAGAAGAGUCAGUUGCUAGGAAUCAAUAACUUCUGGUUUCGAACACUCAAUUCACUUAGCUUUCUAAAAGUUGAAAAUCUAACUUAAUAUUACUCUCUUCCACUCUGAAAAUUCUCUUUUUUUUAAGUGUCAGAAUGACUCUCAUUUAUAUAUAAACAUGACUCUCUUCCCCUCCCCUUUAAUUAUUAUUACUACCAUCCUUUUAUUAUUACCCUUCCAAUUACCCUUCCAUUUUCUUUAAUUUUCAGCCCCCACUAUAUUAUUUUCUAUGUCUAUCUUCUAACAUUUUAUCAUUACUUAUACUAUUACUAAUUCCAAUUAAACAAACACUCUCAUUACUUAGUGGUCCCUUUCUACAAGUUAGUUCAAAGUAAAGUUGUUAGGGGCCUACAGGAUAGACCAAUUCAGUCAAAAAUCAAUUCCCAUUUUUGAACUUCCCAAGUUACCCCCGAAACCCCUUAAUUAUUAAUGCAUUACCUAAGCUUUACAUAUCUGAAGUUACAUCUAUGUAAGUUCAAACCUGAAACUAAUUUCUGCUAAAACACCUAAAUCACUAUAGAUAUGUCCAAUCUUCCUGAUAAUUAAAUGACUAAGGCGAAAUCAUUUAAACAAAAUAACUGAAUUUAAAUCAAAAACCAAAAAUGCAUCAUAGAACUCAACAAAACCAUUAAAAUGAAACUGAAAUUGAAUCUAAAUCUAAAUCACAUGGAUACAAGGAUCAAAUUUUAACACAAUUCUAAAUCGAAUCCGAUACAAGAAGGUAGGAUCAUUGUCAGUAUUGACAAUGCCCCGGAGCUUAACUUCCUAAAAUGAGUAUAUACAACUAUCGAUCCCAAAUUAUUUGACGACAUUCAUGCAGUCAAUUAUAAUAAUUAUGACCUGUAUUAGUUAACAACAAACAAACAGAAACAGAAAUAAAUGAACGAGGUGACCCGACAGAAAAUAAUGAAUUUAUGGAAACUAAUUAAUCAACGAAUCUAUUUAGACAAUUGCAUAUAACAAUUGACAAGAAACAAUCAGAAACAGGUAAUCAAACUAUUUAAAUGGUUUUUUUAACAGAGACUGAAAAUUAUAAUAUAAUUCAACUAAUCAACGAUAUUAGUCGAAUCGACAUUAUACUUUAUAAUACACACUCAACGAAUAGAAACAAUUUUAUCAAAUAAAAGGUCAUCGGAGAUGAGAAGAAUUAACUGAAAGAAAAAUAAAUUAAAAAAAUCAAAUAAACCAAAACAAAAACAACAAAUAGAUCCUACUAUCAGAGAAGAGUAAAUAAAGGGAAAAAUUACCUCAAGGACUCAAAACCAGAUGGACCCAGGCUCAAGCUCAGACUCGACCAUUUUGAGGUCGAACAUACCUUAGUUGAGGUGUUCUCGGCUGAGAACAGUUCGACUAAUGUCGAUUACACCCCAAAUCCCCUUUAAUUUCUGACAAAGCCCGUGUUUUGGUUUUCUAGGGAUAUAUGACUCGAUUUGGGGUUCGAGUAGUUUGGGUUAAAUUCGAACCAAACCAUGUAUGGUUUGGUGACUAGAGAGGCUAGGGAUAUGUUUGCGGUGAGUUUGAGGCCAGUUGGGAUGGUUUUAUAUUUUACUGGAAUCUUCGAUUGAAAAUUCGAGGAUCUACAACGUGAUUCAAACUAAACGGGUCAUUGAUUCGCGGAGAGGGGAGUUAGGAGGUUCGGUGGUGUUGAUUUGGUGGCGAAAGGAGUGGUUACCGCUGGUUUAAGGGCGGUGGGGUGUGCUGGCGGCGCUAGAGUUCUUGGGGUGUUUGGUAUGGUUGAGAGAGACGAAGGGGAAGGGGUCGUUUGGGAAUGGGGUGUGUGAACAGGGCCUGGGGGUUUUGGGUAUAUUAAACAUGACAAUUAAUUUGAGCCGUUGGAUUAUGAAAACCAGACGGCUGUGAUCUGACGUCUGGGCGAAACGGGGUCGUUUUAGGUCAAGCGGGGAAGGGUGCGGUGGGCUAACGAGUCUGGGGUCAUUUGGACUGGAUAAAACAAUGUGUUUUGGGACUAGAAUUUGUUUUAAAAACGGCCCAAAUCCGAGGUUUUCUAUUUUCCUUCUCUUCUUUCUUUUUGUUAUUUCUUCUUUUAAAAUACUAAUUUAUAAAAAUAUAAUAUAAAACCACAAUUACAUUAAAAGACAUUAAUCAACUCAAAAUAAUAAUUAACACCCAAUAUCAAGCACUAACAAAAUCACACCUUUAAACAAUAAAAUAACAAAAUUACCGAAAAAUAACAUUUUUUGUGAUUUUCAUUCUUUUAAUAUCAAAAGCGAUUUAAUUAACUCCUAAUAGUAAAAUAAAUCUUAAAUUCAUACGCCGCACAUAUUUUUUUGUAUUUUAAUAUUCCACAGACAAAAUCACAAAUAACUAUUCGAAAUGCCACGCAAAUUCUAAAAAUUAUACACAAAGACAAUUUGUUUUAUUUUUUUCGAUUUCUUUUGGAGUAAUUGCCGUGAAAGAAAAAAUUACGUGCUCACAAUCAUGGGCAUGAAUAUGGCGAUUGACCAAGUUGUUGAAGAUUUAUUGAUCAUGGGGGAUGCAGAUUUGAUUAUCCGGCAAGCCAGGGAGAAUGGGAAACUCGAGAUGUCAAGCUUAUUCCUUAUCGGAAGCAUGUGGAAGAUCUCGGCUAAUGAUUCAAAUCGAUAGAAUUCAGGUACAUCCCUCGGUUCCACAAUGAGUUAGCUGAUGCACUUGCUACUGUAGCCUCGAUGUUGCCUUAUCCAGGAAAUGCCCACAACGAUCCGUUGGAAAUCCAAAUCAGGGAAAGGCAUGGUUACUGUAAUGCAAUUGAAGCAGAGCCAAACGUCCAGCCAUGGUACCAUGAUAUUAAGAGGUUUUUGAAAACACAAGAGUACCCUGAAUAUGCUACUGGGAUCAAAAGAAGACCAUUAGGCGGCAUGCGAGUGGUUUCCUUUUGAGUGGUGAGGUCUUGUAUUAAACAACCCCAGAUCUCAACCUAUUGAGAUGUGUUGGCGCUGAGGAAGCUGGAAGAAUCAUGCAUGAAGUGCACAUAGGAGUAUAUGGACCUCAUAUGAACGGGUAUGUUCUGUCAAAGAAAAUACUUCGAGCCGGGUAUUAAUGGAUAACUAUGGAGAAAGAUUGCUUAAGUUUUGCUCGGAAAUGUCAUCAGUGUCAGGUGCAUGGAGAUCUGAUUCAUGCACCUCCAACAGAACUACAUCCUAUGUCAGUACCUUGGCCUUUUGUCGCUCGGGGUAUGAACGUUAUUGGUCCGAUUGAGCCAAAAGCUUCAAAUGGGCACAAAUUCAUAUUGAUUGCUAUUGAUUAUUUCACGAAGUGGGUCGAGGCUAUUACUCUUAAGACAGUCACUAAAAAAGUUGUGGUGGAUUUUGUGCACUCUAACCGUAUAUGCCGUUUUGGUAUUCCGGCAACCAUUAUCACAGGCAAUGCUACGAACUUGAAUAGUCGCCUGAUGGAAGAAGUGUGCGAACAGUUCAAAAUAACGCACAUAAAUCCCACUCCUUAUAGGCCCAAAGCCAAUGGCGCUGUUGAAGCAGCGAAUAAGAAUAUCAAAAAGAUUUUGAGAAAGACACUCCAGAGUUCCAGACAGUGGCAUGAACAAUUACCUUUUGCCCUACUGGGAUAUCGCACUACAUUGCGCACAUCGAUAGGAGCAACCCUAUACUUGUUGGUUUAUGGAACCGAAGCUGUGAUACCGGCAGAAGUGGAAAUCCCUUCGCUCUGGACAAUUGUUGAAGUGGAAAUUGAAGAUAGCGAGUGGGUUAAAACUCGAUUGGAACAAUUGACAUUGAUUGAUGAGAAAUGGAUGGCUGCAGUUUGUCAUGGGCAGUUGUAUCAACAAAGAAUGGCUUGCGACUAUACCAAGAAGGUAUGGCCUAGGAAAUUUGAAGUGGGGCACUUAGUGUUAAGACGUAUUCUUCCUAAUCAUCAGGAAGCCAAAGGGAAAUUUGCUCCUAACUGGAAAGGUCCAUACAUCAUCAGGAAGAUACUUCCAAGAGGAGCGUUAUACCUUGGUGAUAUGGAAGGAAAUGAUCCCGAAGCAGCGAUGAAUGCAUAUGCAGUUAAAAGGUACUAUGUCUAGACUUGCUGCGAGGAUGUCUUUGCACAACUGAAAUGGCGAAGGCUUUUAUUCACACUACCCCAAAAACCAUCAAUCCUUCGAAAACCCUUUGAGCCGGUUACCUUUCCUUGAUUACCCUCUUUGGAACCCGGAGAUACAAAAAGAAAAGAGAUAACUUAUUAAUAAUAAAAAAAGAAAGGAAAAAUAAAAGAAAAACAAAAAUUAUUUCCCUGAACUACGUCUGACUUGAUUCCGAAAGGAUACGUAGGCAGCUUAUCUCUGAGGUUUAGUCACACCAAAUCAAAAACCCCAAUUCCCUCCAACAUUAAAACAGGGGCAGAUGAUAUAAUGGUUCGGCCAUGAGAUUGCCGAAAUGGUUCCAAAGUUGUAGUUCCGCCUAAAAUACUUUUACCCCAAAGACCGUGUCUAAGUCCUUCUGAUCGAUUAGCAAAGACAGGAAAGUGAAAUACGUCAUUAUUUAAAUCUGAUAUAAGUCAAAUGGGGAGAAAUAAAAUAAAAGAGUCUUAUCGGUGAAAACCUUCGGGCACCAUAAGGUGACGAGAGUAGAGAAAUCAAAAUGAGAGAGUCCGCUUGGUGAAAACUCGUAAAGAGCACUAUCGGACGAUGGUAAGAAGAGAAAUGAGAGAGGCCGAUUAGCAAAACCCGCAAAGGGCGCUGUCAGCCGAAAAGAGGAUACUUCAUCACAAAAAGUCCUGGCAUGGUUCCCUGGUUUGGAAAUACGAGCCAAUGGGUUCAUGAGAAAUUGGAAGUCAGUGCGGUUUGCGCAUCCAGUCCAAGAAGCAUGUCAUGUUAGUUUGAAGUCAGCAUGCACCCCAGAUAAGUCCAUCUUUCCCCCGAAAGGGAUGCCUCUCUUUAAACUCAUAUGCUCGCAUUUUUUGCAUACUUUCCUUUGAAACCCUUUUGGUUUAAUUCUUAUUUCCGUAACAAUUACAAAAAAAAGGUGGCAGGACCGAUCUCGCAGGGGUCCGCUCGGCAAGUCAAAGAAAAUACCCAACCUUAGUGGUGCAUCAGUCCGAUCCCGACUGACCAUGGUAGAUAAUUGCUUCCAAAGAAAGGAUAUUGGGAAGAAAGAAAGUCAAAGACAAAGGUCUGAAGAGAAAAAUUAAGUGAAAGAAUCAAAGCCCUAUACAUGCAAAUCAUCAUGAAAUCAUGGAAGCUGAGUUUUAUCAGUUUGAAAGGGGCUCGCCUUCGAAUCCAAUCAACAAAAAUGUUCUCGGCAGAAAAUGAGGUCGAGAUCGAGCAAUUGAGAUGAUCAAGGCCAUAAAACCAACAAAUGUUUCGAACUAACAAUUGUUCUUUGUUGAAAAUUGAAACAUGUGCAAUCCAAGGCAACUAUGCAAAAAGCAGGUGCAACAAAAAUAAAGAAAAACGCGCAAAUGCUGAAAUAGCUUUGCAGCAAAUAACCAAUACAAAGGGAAGUUUCCUCUGAAUUCUUUCCUGUUUUUGGUGUUAAACAAAGAAAAAGAAGAAAAAGGAGAAAAUCCAAGCAAAAAAUGAUAGUUUAUAAUCCCCCAUACCAAUCUGAUAUUUCCUUAGCAAAAAUUAGGGCUCCAGUCCCUGAGUUGAGCGGUUUUUCCUUAGCCAACAUUAGUGGUAAAGCAGGUGCAACAAAAAUAAAGAAAAACGCGCAAAUGCUGAAAUAGCUUUGCAGCAAAUAACCAAUACAAAGGGAAGUUUCCUCUGAAUUCUUUCCUGUUUUUGUUGUUAAACAAAAGAAAAGAAGAAAAAGGAGAAAAUCCAAGCAAAAAAUGAUAGUUUGGAAUCCCCCAUACCAAUAUGAUAUUUCUUGAGCCAAUAUUAGGGCUUCGAUCCCCUAGUUGUGUAUUUAUCCUUAGCUAACAUUAGGGCUCCAAUCCCUGAGUUGAGCAUUUUAUCCUUAGCCAACAUUAGGGCUCCAAUUCGUGAGUUGAGCGCAUUUAUCCUUAGCCAACAUUAGGGCUCCAAUCCUUGAGUUGAGCAUUUUAUCCUUAGCCAACAUUAGGUCUCCAAUCCCUGAGUUGAGCGCAUUUACCCUUAGCCGACAUUAGGGGUCCAAUCCUUGAGUUGAUCGAUUUCCUUUACCCAACAUUAGGGCUCCAAUCCCUGAGUUGAGCAAGUUUUUUUUCCAUAGCCGACAUUAGGGCUCCAAUCCCUGAGUUGAGCGCAUUUAUCCUUAGCCAACAUUAGGGCUCCAAUCACUGAGUUGAGAUUUUUAUCCUUAGUCGACAUUAGGGCUCCAAUCCCUGAGUUGAGCAAUUUUAUUCCUUAGCCGACAUUAGGGCUCCAAUCCUCGAGUUGAGCGAUUUCCGUUAGCCAACAUUAGGGCUCUAACCCCUGAGUUGAGCAAGCUUUUUCUUUAGUCGAAAUUAGGGCUCCAAUCCCCGAGUUGAGCGAUGUUCCUUUAGCCGAUAUUAGGGCUCCAAGUUUUUCCUUUAGCCGACAUUAGGGCUCCAAUCCCUGAGUUGAGCGAUGUUCCUUUAGCCGACUUUAGGGCUCCAAUCCUUGAGUUGAGCAAGUUUUUCUUUUAGCCAACAUUAAGGCCCCAAUCCCUGAGUUGAGCUAGUUUUCCUUUUAGCCAACAUUAGGUCAGAUCUUUGGUUUCAACUAACUCACGAAAUUUCCCUAUUGAAAACUGAGGCAGAAAAUUUUGUUCGUUUGUUUCUUUUGAUACCUUAAGCAGACCCCGAGAUACAUGAUUCGAGAGGAUCCAUGGAAUGAGUCUCAAUACAUAUAGAAAGAAAAGAACAAAAGAACAAAAAGAAACAAGCCCACACUGUUGGAAAUCAUUGAUGCCUUUGAUAUGUGUUCUUUGGUUGUAUUAGAAUGAUUUCCAAGUACAGGUUUUGAUGAAUGACAAACGAUGAAGUCAACUGUCAAACAAUGAUAUUGUAUGACAAAUAAUGAAGAUGCAUUAGCAAACGAUCAAAUUUUGAUGAAUGACAAACAAUGAAGUCGAUUGUCAAACAACGAUAUUGUAUGACAAACGUUGAAGAUGCAUUAAGCAAACAAUCGAGAUGGUUGACGAAUCAAUGAUGAUGAAUCAAACAAUCAAGAUUGGAUGCCAAGAAGCAUAUUGAUGACAAGAUUGCAUAGACAAGCCAAGUCGAGCCAAAGAGUUCAAGACCGAAGACCCAAGGCGUAUGUCGUUAGGUAGAACCAAUGUAAGAUCAACAUUUAAGUUAUCUCGUCUUUUGACUCAACAUUAGGUCAUCAUAAAUAUGCAUUAAAUCAUAUAUAUCAUAAAUAUUUUUAAUAUACUUCAAACAGAAUGAUUUUAACGUUUUCAUUUUAACCAAAAUGGUUUUUGAAGUAAGUUUUCGAUUCUGGUAUACUCUGGUAUAUUUUGGUAUNNNNNNNNNNNNACGUUUUCAUUUUAACCAAAAUGGUUUUUGAAGUAAGUUUUCAAUUAUGGUAUACUCUGGUAUACUCCAGUGUAUAUCAAUGGUAUAUUCUGAUAUAUUCCAGCUUUGUUUUAAACUGGGUUUUUACGCAAGCCUAGAUAAUCGAUUAACCAAAAUAGAUAAUCGAUUAUCUCAUUUAAAUAAUCGAUUAUCACUUUUAGUUAAUCGAUUAUCUCAUAUCUGUUGCCUUCCAACGACUAGUUUUUUUGAACGUUUGAACUAGAUAAUCGAUUAUCUACUUUGGUUAAUCGAUUAACUUGUUGGAAAAUCAGAUUUUGUGUUUAAGCAUGAGCAACGGACAUAACACCUCCAAACUCUAUAAAUAGAGGUCUUUGGAGCUGAUUUUAUAUGAACAACUACUCUCAUAAUUCUUGAAUAUAUUGAAAUCCAAACUCUAUAAAUAGAGGUCUUUGGAGCUGAUUUUAUGAUGAACAACUACUCUCAUUAUUCUUGAAUACAUUGAUAAUAUUUUCGCAUCAUAUUUAGAGCUUUUGUUGAGCCAUUUGAAAGACAACUUUGUGUUGUUCAUAGAGCUAAUAUUGUAUCUCCUUAUCUACUCUUUUUAGAGAGUCUUCAUUGUAAAAGGGAGAAGUUCUUGAGAAGACUAAUUCUUCUCAUUGAGCAUUGAGGUUGCUAAGUUCCUUGAAUCUUAGCAAGUGAAGCCUUGAGGUGAGGUAUCCUUGAGCAAGAAGUCUUGUGGUGCGGUAUCCACGAGCAACUGAAGUCUUGUAGAGCGUACAUCUACGAGCAAGUGUAACGGUUUGUUAAGCACCCGUAAGCUUAACGGAGUUAGUGAUACUCGAGAGAGUCUCUCGGGAGACUGGACAUAACCACGCUUUGUGGCGAACCAUUAUAUAUCGGUGUGUUCUUUCCUUACUCUUUUAUUUUCCGCACUUACUUUAUUCCUGCAAUUUUAAUUCCGCAAAAUUUACCGACAUUCUCAGUGUGUUCUUUCCUUACUCUUUUAUUUUUCGCACUUACUUUAUUCCUGCAAUUUUAAUUCCGUAAAAUUUACCGACAUUCUCGUGCCUCACUAUUCACCCCCCUCUAGUGAAGGGCAUAAAUCCUAACAGUUGGUAUUUUAUUCCUGCAAUUUUAAUUCCGUAAAAUUUACCGACAUUCUCGUGCCUCACUAUUCACCCCCCCUCUAGUGAACGGCAUAAAUCCUAACACACACAACUUGUGAGCAUCAAGAUUCAGAUCAAAGUCUACACCAAAAUCAGCUAAGACGCAAUAUCAAGUUUCAAAAGAAUUAUAGAUAGGAAUCUUGUAACUCAUAGUUGAUAGGCUUAGCUAGCUUAGCUUUGAUUUUCCUUUUGGUAUAAUAAGGAAGUCAGCAAGCAGUAGCAGCAAAAACAACAGUGAAGUCACAGUUCCUGGUAGUCCCCAGCUACCAAAAACUCCCGAACUACACUAACCUGAUUUCUGUUUAGCCAAGUUAUGUAGGCAAUCUCUGAAGUAGGGCGUGGUCAAAUUUUUCGAAAAUGCUUCACGCGGAAUAUGUGAAUGGGCAAAAGUUCCUCAUUUCUGCUCACUUGUCUUUGCACGAAAACUCUUCGUAUUUCCGGGAAAAGAGGGACAGCCGUGAGCACGUGAUUUUUGCCCUAAGCAAAUCAUUCCCAAAAAUUCAAACAAAUAAUUUUUUCCGUAUUUUUACAAUUUUUUUUAUUUUGUAUUUUAGUUGUGUGUGUUAGUUCAUAUAAAAUACAAAAAUAGGUAUUUGCAUUUAGGAUUUAAUUUCAUAUUUUUAGGAUUAAUUAGAGGUUAAUUUGUUUUAGAAUAGGAUAUAAAAAAAUGACAAACCCCAAGCACACCACAGCCCAAGCGCCCAUGCCCAUUUUCGCCUCAACUCGGUCCAACCUCAAAAAGACGUCGUUUGGAGUCGAUCAAUCUCAGCCAUCUAGGUUAGCUCAUCUAAUGGCCAGGAACUAGCCUACCCGGGUAUAAAACUGUCCGAAUGCCCCUACCCCUCAUCGUGUCUCACAACCCCCCUCUUCAAACCCUAGAGACCGCCGCCCCAAAAUUCUUAGCCGCCGGUGGUGGCGCCGGCUACCAAACUUAACCAAAAAUACACCAUGGACUCUCCUCAGUACCCUCAUCUCGAAUCCCCGAUCACUUUACCUCGAAUCAUCACCAAAGUCCCGCAAUCAUAAAUCAAAAUUUUCGGCCAAGUCACAAGUUUGCCCAAAUGCUCCCAAUUUGAUACCAAAUAAUAUAUUAACCUCUCUUAUCUCGAGUCUAGGGUUGUUUUACUUCGAAUCUCAAC
rnacentral:lncRNA from 1 species